rnacentral:ncRNA from 1 species
AAUGGCAAWUACAAUGGGAAGCAAGGCUGUAAGGCGGAGCGAAUCCGGAAAGAUUGCCUCAGUUCGGAUUGUUCUCUACAACUCGGGAACAUAAAG